rnacentral:rRNA from 1 species
AGUGAGGAAUAUUGGACAAUGGGCGAGAGCCUGAUCCAGCCAUGCCGCGUGCAGGAAGACGGCCCUAUGGGUUGUAAACUGCUUUUAUACAGGAAGAAACACUCCCUCGUGAGGGAGCUUGACGGUACUGUAGGAAUAAGGAUCGGCUAACUCCGUGCCAGCAGCCGCGGUAAUACGGAGGAUCCAAGCGUUAUCCGGAGUCAUUGGGUUUAAAGGGUCCGUAGGCGGGACAAUAAGUCAGCGGUGAAAGUCUGUGGCUCAACCAUAGAAUUGCCAUUGAUACUGUUGUUCUUGAGUGUUUAUGAAGUGGUUAGAAUAUGUAGUGUAGCGGUGAAAUGCUUAGAUAUUACAUGGAAUACCGAUUGCGAAGGCAGAUCACUAAUAAAAUACUGACGCUGAUGGACGAAAGCGUAGGUAGCGAACAGGAUUAGAUACCCUGGUAGUCUACGCCGUAAACGAUGGUUACUAGCUGUUCGGAAGCAAUUCUGAGUGGCUAAGCGAAAGUGAUAAGUAACCCACCUGGGGAGUACGUUCGCAAGAAUGAAACUCAAAGGAAUUGACGGGGGCCCGCACAAGCGGUGGAGCAUGUGGUUUAAUUCGAUGAUACGCGAGGAACCUUACCAGGGCUUAAAUGUAGCUUGACCGAUUUGGAAACAGAUCUU